rnacentral:rRNA from 1 species
GAUGAACGCUGGCGGCGCGCCUAACACAUGCAAGUCGAACGGCACCCCUCCUCGGAGGGCAGCGAGUGGCGACCGGCUGAGUAACACGUGGAGAACCUGCCCCCUCCCCCGGGAUAGCCGCCCGAAAGGACGGGUAAUACCGGAUACCCCGGGGUGCCGCAUGGCACCCCGGCUAAAGCCCCGACGGGAGGGGAUGGCUCCGCGGCCCAUCAGGUAAACGGCGGGGUGACGGCCCACCGUGCCGACAACGGGUAGCCGGGUUGAGAGACCGACCGGCCAGAUUGGGACUGAGACACGGCCCAGACUCCUACGGGAGGCAGCAGUGGGGAAUCUUGCGCAAUGGGGGGAACCCUGACGCAGCGACGCCGCGUGCGGGACGGAGGCCUUCGGGUCGUAAACCGCUUUCAGCAGGGAAGAGUCAAGACUGUACCUGCAGAAGAAGCCCCGGCUAACUACGUG